GCACUUCGGACAUCAAAUCAUUUCUUGGAGGCAAACGAGCACUGGUUGUGCGAGACGGCGGUGGACCAGGAGUUCUUAAUAUGGUAGCCAAGUUUUUCUGGUUAUGUAAACUUUGUUUAUUCGACGCUUGACCGUUGGAGUUUUCUUUAGUCGGUGAUUGCUUAGGUGUUGUAUCUAAGCGUUUACCCUGAGGCGGAGGAUCCAACACAAUUGGUGGAAUUUCAUCAUGCAGAUUGAUUCGAUCCUGCUUACUCUUCGUCUCCUGAACUACGUGACUGACGUUCCUUUCGCCUGUACAGGAAACUGUUUGGUUGAGAAGCUCUUAAUGA
rnacentral:misc_RNA from 1 species